AACGUACGCUGGCGGCACGCCUAACACAUGCAAGUCGAACGAAGUAGCAAUACUUAGUGGCAGACGGGUGAGUAACAUGUGGGUAUCUGCCCUUUGGCCUGGAAUAACACGAGGAAACUUGUGCUAAUACCGGAUAAGUCUUUACGGAGAAAGCUUUAUGCACCAUUGGAUGAGCCCGCACUUGAUUAGUUUGUUGGUGGGGUAAUGGCCUACCAAGACUGUGAUCAAUAGCUGAUUUGAGAGGAUGAUCAGCCACAUUGGGACUGAGACACGGCCCAAACUCCUACGGGAGGCAGCAGUGGGGAAUCUUGCACAAUGGAGGAAACUCUGAUGCAGCGAUGCCGCGUGAGUGAAGAAGGCCCUUGGGUUGUAAAGCUCUUUCGUCGGGGAAGAAAAUGACUGUACCCGAAUAAGAAGGUCCGGCUAACUUCGUGCCAGCAGCCGCGGUAAUACGAAGGGACCUAGCGUAGUUCGGAAUUACUGGGCUUAAAGAGUUCGUAGGUGGUUGAAAUAGUUGGUGGUGAAAUCCCAGAGCUUAACUCUGGAACUGCCAUCAAAACUUUUCAGCUAGAGUAUGAUAGAGGAAAGCAGAAUUUCUAGUGUAGAGGUGAAAUUCGUAGAUAUUAGAAAGAAUACCAAUUGCGAAGGCAGCUUUCUGGAUCAUUACUGACACUGAGGAACGAAAGCAUGGGUAGCGAAGAGGAUUAGAUACCCUCGUAGUCCAUGCCGUAAACGAUGUGUGUUAGACGUUGGAAAUUUAUUUUCAGUGUCGCAGCGAAAGCGAUAAACACACCGCCUGGGGAGUACGACCGCAAGGUUAAAACUCAAAUGAAUUGACGGGGACCCGCACAAGUAGUGGAGCAUGUGGUUUAAUUCGAAGAUACGCGCAGAACCUUACCAACACUUGACAUGUUCGUCGCGA
rnacentral:rRNA from 1 species